CCUUUCUCUGGCCCCUUCCUUUCCCCCUUCCACCUCUUCUUUAUCAACACCAAGGGGUCUCUCUCACUCUCGCUCAACACCUCCUGGCGCCCACUGCUCCCGUCUGGUGAUCUUUGAGAGUUCCUUCUGCGAGACAAGCAAACAAGGAAGUAAGCAAAAUGCAUAAGCUGCUAGCCCUCCUGCUGGUGGCGGUGGUGGUGGUGGCGACGCUCCCUCAGGCAGGAGCCAUCAGGUGCUACUUGUGUCAGGGCUACAUCCCCUCCUCCGUCGAGAAUAUCCUUUCAAACAACAAGAACUGCCCUGCUGACAACUUCGACAGUAAUAAAGUCGAAACAGCCGGUGGACAGGUGUGCAUGACGAUGGUUCAGGAAAUUGAUGGCUUCGAGAUCACAUCUCGCUCACCCGCCGACAUCAUGAAGAAGGACGCCAAGAAGACCCACCACCUCAAUUUCAGAGGCUACUUCUGCAACACUGACUACUGCAAUAGCAGGAGCCCGGGCAACGCAGCACCCACCACCCACGCCCUCUGCCUGCCGCUCCUCCUCCUCUCCCUGCUGGCGGCAUUCCACCGACGCCUGGCUUGAGGGCCUUGACACAAACACAAACACAGACACACACACACACACUUUCCUUAGUGUCUCUUUGUAAGUUAAUCUUAACACUAAUACAUAAAUAAAUAAAAAUACAUGGUUUCUCUGAAGCUUGACAUGAUGUCUGCUCCAGUGGAAUGCACGCGAUGCUGUAGUGACGCGGAGUACUGCUGUUGUAUUACGUAUGUGUCAGCUGCAGGGCUAUGGACAUGAAAAGACAAGGGAAGCUGCAGGAAGCCAUCAUGCCUACACGUGGCAGUCCCUGUAUAAAACAUGCCUACCUAUUUCCACCUCACAUCCCUCAUCCAUUCACUUACCACUCUAUUGGGCAGCCACUUUCCUCGUAUCCUUCCUGGUAAACUCUUAUGUACGUGUCCAGGUGACAUGCAGGAAAGCUUGUCAUCCUAAGUGGGCAGUCUGGGUCUUUCCUCUCACUGGCGACGGGAAAUCUGACUCAGCUGCUGAUAUGUUCGGUGGCCGCCUAACGGGUCGCGACACUCCUGUGGCUCCCGGAGUGACAUGAGAGCCAAGAGAACCGCGAUAUCAUUAAUUGGAGGUGACUGGAUCUUGUUCUCGCUGUUGUUGUUGUUGUUGUUAUUAUUAUUAUUAUUAUUAUUAUUAUUAUUAUUAUUAUUAUUAUUAUUAUUAUUAUUAUUAUUAUUAUUAUUAUUAUUGCAUGUAUCCAGAAAGUUUUUGUUUUUAACGGGUUUUGUCUUAUCCUAUCUUAUCCUGUUGUAGAGAGAGAGAGAGAGAGAGAGAGAGAGAGAGAGAGAGAGAGAGAGAGAGAGAGAGAGAGAGAGAGAGAGAGAGAGAGAGAGAGAGAGAGAGAGAGAGAGAAUGAUGACGCAGGCUGAAAACACUCGAUAACAAGCUAGACAGAAGAUAAGUAAACAGACAGUUAUCACCAGACAGCCAGACCUGACCAGUACAUGGCACCCUAGACAGGUACAGCCCACACGUAUCACAGUAUAUGGAAAUACACACCGCCAUUCACAUGCAGAGGAUUAUACUUGGUCUAGCUAGCUGCUUCAGGACUUCCAAGAUAUACACCACCCCAUGUAGGAAGAGCCGGUGUAUGUCUGGUGUAAACUCACUGGCGGAUAUACUUCAUACCCCAAAAUGUGCCUCCACAAACCAUAGUAGGGAUAAAUUUGGUGAUAUACAGGGUGUAACACGAGUUUCUGUAAAUACUGAAAGGGGUGAAAGAACUUGUAAUUCUAAGUAGGAAAUGUUCUAUACACAUUUGCAUUUUAAAGCUUUGUUUACCCGUUAGAGGAGCUCAAAAUGUAUGGAACUCGUGGGUGUGCUAUGCGUGUAGCUAUGAGGUGACGGAUAGACGGUUUCAUUGUCGCAGCCUCGGAGGUGCCACUUGGUCAAAUUACGAAUGGUUAAUCUUAUUUUUUGCAAGCUGUGGAAUAUUACAGUAUCUUAUAACAAGACAAAUGGUGUUAAAAGUAUGUAAUUUACUGAUAAGCAUUACACGACAACAUUAUUGCAGUGAUUAAAAGUACUCCUGUAAAAUGCUACAUGGCAUCAUCACUUAGCAAUUUUCAAGGUCGCUCUGACUCGAUCCCUCCCCCUCCUCCCUCGCUUCGAUGAUGCCACGUAGCAUUUUACAAGAGUAUUUUUAAUCACCGCUAUAACGUUGUCACGUAAUACUUAUCGGUAAAUUGCAUGCUUUUUAACACUAUUGGUCUUGUUAUAAGAUACUGCAAUAUUCCACAGCUUGCAAAAAAUAAGAUUAAACCAUUCGUAAUUUGAUCAAGUGGCACCUCCGAGGCAGCGACAAUGCAACCGUCUGUCCGUCACCUCAUAGCUACACGCAAAGCACACGUGUGAGUCCCAUACAUUUUCAACUCCUCUGAGGGGUAAACAAAGCCUUAAAAUGCAAAUAUGUAUAGAACAUUUUCUACUUAGAAUUACAAGUUCUUUCACCUCCUUCAGUAUUUGCAGAAACUCGUGUUACACCCUAUAUACAAGUGUACCUGUUACUGCCAGAGAGAGAGAGAGAGAGAGAGAGAGAGAGAGAGAGAGAGAGAGAGAGAGAGAGAGAGAGAGAGAGAGAGAGAGAGAGAGAGAGAGAACACUGAGGAUGGUAGUGGAUGGGAUGGGGAGAAGAUAUUUUGCUGACCUGUUAAAGUUAUCCUCGGCUGGGAUAAUGGAGGUCAGAUAGGAAUUUCAAAGACUCCACACAAGAAACAUGUGUAGAGGACACCCCAGCUCUGCCCUGCCCUGGGGCAGAAGCAGGUAUACUGUAGAGGAGAACAGACGUCGUGAACGAGCGUCUUGCAUUGAGAGUGACUUCCAGUCUACAGGAGUUAAAUAACCCGCCAACAUAUGGCACUGGGCUUCCUGGUUACCUACUUGAGCAUGCUGCAAGUGCUACAAACGUCCACUGCGUUGCAUGUCAAACCGGGGACUCUCACCACACUUCUUGGGGAAGUAACCUUAAUAGAAUAUGUUCUUCUGGUUCGAUAUCCUUUUUCUACCUUAUUUUCCGUACCUUCGGACCUCGACACUGUCUCAAAAACUUACAGGAAUUGGAAUCUUUACCUGCUGAUGAAACGCAUGGACAGACGCAAGUUUUCAUUCAAAUCAUAAUCAAAGCUUUAACAGCAAUGGUAGAAUUUUUGCAUGGCAAAUUGAACCAAUCUCGGCAUGACGCAACCUUCAUCCAGUGCACGCUCGUACCAAAAGAGGACUCCUAAAUGGGUUGGGACAACUAUCUCAAUAUCUCUUUGGCACCGCCUUGGACGAGGAUGUACAAGAUUUCAGGAAACAUUAUGAUCAACUAAUAACGGUUGCAGCUACUAAUAAGAAGGUCCUGAACCUGCAUCACAAUAAACUAGUUAAAUUAAAGUCCAACCUCAAUGAGUUAUUGCAGUACUCAAAUGAUUUAGCAACUGUGCUUGAUAAUACCUUACAUAGUUUAGAUUUGAUAAAUCACGUUGUGGUAAUGGAUCAAGUUUUACAUGUAUUUAAAGCUUCCUUGGGUUCAGUUCUCUCCUUUAAUGAAGCAAUAAUUCGCAACAUGGUGGAUGCUGUCAAUGGCAGGGUAACAACUUCACUAUUUCCUGUAGAGGAUUUGCUUCACACACUAGAAAUUGGUCAGUCAACAUACAAAUUGACACCACUGUAUGCAACGGACAUGAUCCAAUAUUACUACCCAUUGCUAUAAACUACCUUGACCACAGAUGCAAUAAUUGUAAACAUACCUUUUAAAUCUCAGUAUCUUUUGAGGCCUAUGAGAUUAAACCUUUUCCAUUCUCCGUUAAUAAUUCGGUGAUGACAAUGGACAUGAAUCUUUCCUUAGUGCUAAUAGCCAAGGACUUUUCAUUAUAUACAAUUGGAGAUUUAACUGAAUUAAAACGUUGUAAAUCUUCAUACUUACAUUUGUACCAUUGUUCAAGAAUUUGCCUUCUUACCUGUAGUAAAUGGAAUUUGUGAAGUUGCCUUGACACGUUCAGAGGCGUCUGCAGCUCUAUCACUCUGUCCAUACAGUCAUGUGGUUUCAAAACCUAUUUUCCAUUGUAACUUUUACGGGUAUCAUUACUUUUAUUUCAGACACCUUUUAUGUCUCAGUGACUUGCCCAGAAGGGACCACCUAUGAGGAGAUUAUAGGACAUUAUGCGGUACAAGAUGCUUGUCAUGUACGUUCUAGUAAACUAACCACUUACCCUUCUCGGUUUCAUUUAGCUUUCGUGACAGAACUUGCUUAUAGGAUAUUCUCUGUCACUUUCCUAAAAAAGUUGACAAAGUCAAGGAUUUCUUUUAUAACUAACUCAUUAUCCACUCUUUCCUUCUCAAACACGAAAAGUUUUCAGAGGCUCUAGAGACACUUUACCAGUAUAUCUGAAACCUGGAUUUCUCUACCCAAGUGUCCUGACACUUUGCCUUAUUUUAAUGUUCUUAAUAAUACUCUUAUAUGUGUGUGUUAGAUAGCACCUACAUUAUAGUAUUUAAGUAUUCUCCAUAGUUAAUCUCUCUCUAAUGUAUUUUGGCAUGUAUUAUUCUUAGCUAUAAGUAGCUUUUCCCUUGCCUUAUUUAUGUAAUUAGAGAGUUAUAAUUAUGAAUAUAUUCAUGUACUGUGAGUGCGGUCAACCCUACCACAUUUCUACUGUCAGCACUUUUGAAGGCGCUAAGCGUCCCUUGUGUCGGCUCCGGCAGUCUCUUGCCAGGGUGUAACGCUGUCCACGCAGAGGACAUCCGUUGUCCAGUACACGCCCCACCCUUCUCCCAGAACUCUGUACAUAUAUCUAAAUAUACAUAUCUUUAUA